rnacentral:misc_RNA from 1 species
GAAGAAGAAGAAGAAGAAGAAAACAUGAAAGAAAUAGAUUCCUUAUGGGAGGAGGUGAGAGAGUUAAGUCUUGGAACCUCAUCAACAGCCAUAGACCACCUUCAUUCACCUCCAACCCCACUUCAUUUCCUUCGAAACUACGUCUCUCCAAACAAACCCUGUAUCAUCUCCAACGCCAUCACCCACUGGCCUGCUCUCUCUCUCUGGCCCAACCUCUCCUACCUCUCCCAUUCCCUCUGCCACUCCUCCGUUUCCCUCCACCUCACCCCUCAUGGCCGUGCUGAUUCCCUCGUCCCCUCCACCCCCACCCAUCAUUCCUUCUGCUUUGCCUCCGCUAACGUGCAGCAAGUGCCCUUCCCACGCGCGCUUGAUUGCGUUGUCAAUAGUCGACCUGGUAAAUUCGUUGCCUACCUGCAGCAGCAGAAUGAUUGCUUUAGGACGGAGUAUUCGGCGGCGUUGGGAUCGGACUGCGACGCCCAUAUUGGGUGGGCGACGGAGGCGCUCGGUUGUUUACCGGAGGCUGUGAAUUUGUGGAUUGGCAAUCGUUUCUCGGAGACGUCUUUUCAUAAGGACCAUUAUGAGAAUCUAUAUGCUGUCGUUUCUGGGAAGAAGCAUUUCUUGCUACUUCCUCCUACUGAUGUUCACCGCUUGUAUAUUCGCAAUUACCCUGCUGCCCAAUACUCCUAUUCUGAGGAAAAUGGAGAAUUCAAAUUGGAAAUGGAGGAUCCAGUGAGGUAUGUGCCAUGGUGCAGUGUGAAUCCUUACCCAUCUCCUGAGGCUAAAGAGAGCGAAAUGGCUAAAUUUCCUUUGUAUUUCAAUGGUCCAAAGCCAUUUGAAUGUACAGUCAAUGCCGGAGAGGUUCUGUAUCUGCCAAGCAUGUGGUUUCAUCAUGUACGACAGAGUUCGGAUGACGAAGGAUGCACUAUUGCCAUAAACUAUUGUGUCCAUGGCAGGGUAUGAUAUGCAGUUUGAUGUGAAGUAUGCUUAUUUCAACUUCUUGCAAUCAAUUCAAUAUGGAUCAACUUUGACUCAACCCAAAUGUGAGAAAUAUUCAGGUUCUCAUGUAUCUAACUGUAACUUGAGGGAUAAAUCAUGUACUGAUGCGUAUGUAGUACAUGAUAAUGUGGACUCAAACCAAGAUAGUGAAGACAAAUGAACUGAUUUCUUAACCUGCAUGGUUUGAUCAUCCGUUUGUGCAAAUUCUUCAUAUUACAUGAUUUGUGCCGCAAGAAUUGUGGUGCAUCAAGUGCAGAGCUCAAUAGGGAUAACUGAUUAUUUGUCGCAUAAGGGUUUUUCUUGUUCAUUUUGAAGUCUCAGGAUUUGUCAAUGUUCUAAUUUAGAUGAAUACAAUGACAAUAUUACAGUAUGCAGUUUUGCUACUUGUCAAUUUAUUAGAUCAGAUCAAUAUAUGGUGUCAUUAC